rnacentral:rRNA from 1 species
UGCGCGUCUAUCAUGCAGUCGAGCGGACAGAUGGGAGCUUGCUCCCUGAUGUUAGCGGCGGACGGGUGAGUAACACGUGGGUAACCUGCCUGUAAGACUGGGAUAACUCCGGGAAACCGGGGCUAAUACCGGAUGCUUGUUUGAACCGCAUGGUUCAAACAUAAAAGGUGGCUUCGGCUACCACUUACAGAUGGACCCGCGGCGCAUUAGCUAGUUGGUGAGGUAACGGCUCACCAAGGCAACGAUGCGUAGCCGACCUGAGAGGGUGAUCGGCCACACUGGGACUGAGACACGGCCCAGACUCCUACGGGAGGCAGCAGUAGGGAAUCUUCCGCAAUGGACGAAAGUCUGACGGAGCAACGCCGCGUGAGUGAUGAAGGUUUUCGGAUCGUAAAGCUCUGUUGUUAGGGAAGAACAAGUACCGUUCGAAUAGGGCGGUACCUUGACGGUACCUAACCAGAAAGCCACGGCUAACUACGUGCCAGCAGCCGCGGUAAUACGUAGGUGGCAAGCGUUGUCCGGAAUUAUUGGGCGUAAAGGGCUCGGAGGCGGUUUC